UUCAUUUAAGAAUGCGACUAUUUGUUAUAACCGCAUUUUAAACAAAGUGUUUUAUUUUAAGAAUGUGGCUAUUACAAAUAGUCGCAUUCUUAAAUAAAGCG
rnacentral:pre_miRNA from 1 species